rnacentral:lncRNA from 1 species
GAAAAUACAUGUAAGUGACUAUGAGGAUUUGUCGUUCACAUGUACAUAAUAGUUUAACCCUUUAGUGCAAGGAGACAACUAUAUACAUAUUGGGUGGGGGUUGGCAGGACAUAAGAGUUUAUUUUCCCAAUUUGUUUUCUUUUAGGUCAACCCAUGCAUUCAUGUAUGCAUCCUUAGGCUGAUAUUUGUACAAGUUCCGUUCUCCUGCACCCCUGCCCCCUUAAGAGGUUAAGGAAUUUCUCCGAACCACCACUACAGGAUCUGAAAUCAGGAGCCAAGGAUACCAUCGCUACUGUCAUUCUCAGGCUGGGGAGAGCCGGACUGACUGAGAUUUCAUUUAGAUUGUUGAAGUCCAACCAGUUUAGUUGUUUUGAUCUCUAGAAGAAGAAAAAACAGGAAUCUUGAACAUCCCAAAAGGAGGAAUCUGAAUUAGUAAAUGGAACAUCCACACAUGCCCAUUAGGGAGAAAAAGAGAGUGAGAGAUGUUGUAAGUGAACUAAACCCUCAUACUCCAUAGCAGGAAAUGAACAGAUGAUAUAUCAAGUUAAUAAAAGACAGAGAUAAACUGGAAGUCUUUGGAAAUACGGAGAGUGGGGAGUCUCACUAUGUUGCCCAGCCUGGCCUUGAUCUCCUGGACUCAAGCAAUCCUCUCAGAGUAGCUGGGACUACAGGCAUAUACCACCAUACCUAGUUUGCCUAUUGAUAUUCUUCUUUACCCCUAAGAAGAUUGUAUGUGUUAAUCCAUAUGUCAAGCUUAUCCAGUGUGAUGAAACUGGCGAAUUCACACUGAAGAGAAACUUUGAAGGUAAUAAACAUCCUUGACUGAUAAAAAAUACGAAGGUGUUAAAAUAUAAAUAUGUGUUAAGUGGGUAUGUGCGUAUGAAUUUCUGUUUUUUUUUUUUUUGAGACAGAGUCUCCCUCUGUCACCCAGGCUGGAGUGCAGUGGCGUGAUCUCAGCUCCCUGCAAGCUCCACCUCCUGGGUUCACGCCAUUCUCCUGCCUCAGCCUCCCAAGUAGCUGGGACUACAGGCGCCCGCCACCACGCCAGGCUGAUUUUUUGUAUUUUUAGUAGAGACGGGGUUUCACAGUGUUAGCCAGGAUGGUCUCAAUCUCCUGACCUCGUGAUACGCCCACCUCAGCCUCCUAAAAUGCUGGGAUUAUAGGUGUGAGCCUCCAUGCCUGUCCUGAAUUUCUUAAUAAAUGCAGUUUUCAUGAAGGCAAAGUAUUUCAGAUAGUCUGGUAGGAAAGGAGAAAGAAAUACAAAAUAGGGUCUUAAAGUGUGCAAAGGUGGGAAACUGGAGCUGGGACUUUUCUGACCAACUAGGACAACCUGGGGCUUAGCUGAACUCUCCCCAGGCUCUGGGAAAGCAUCAUUGUUAUGGAUUUUCAGCUGUGAGGAGCUUGGUAUGAAAAUUCUGCUCCUCGAAUAAGCCUACAGCAUGAGUUAAAGAAAAAAAUGCAGUUCUAUCAAUACUAAACAUUUUAACAAGAUCUUCUUUAAGACAAAAAAUUUAAAUAACCCUCUUCUGCCUUUUCCCAUCAAAUUUCAAGUAUUUUCCAGGUGUUAAUGCAAUAGCAAAUUAGAACUCCUAGGGUUUGAGUGGGCAUUUUGACUUAAUUCUGGUGGAUAGAUUCUACAUGUUCCUUGAUUUUGCUUAAUUGAUGUUUGGAUAACCUGCAAGGAAUCCAUAGACUGUUUAUGGAAACAUUGAUUCUUGAUUUGAAAUCUGUUUGCUCAGCAGAUGGGACCAAAUUUAUCCAUCAGAGAAUCUUGCCUUCACACAAGAACUAGUAGUAUUCUUUCCUUACAGAGUUUGGCAGAGGAUUGGUGAAGAACAUGGCAGAAACAAUGGGACUCUCCUUGGAUAACGGUUCUUUGUGCUUUGCAAAUUCUCCAAUACGUGGAUAACCAAGUGGUUGUUGUUGUUUUUCUAGAAGUCUGAGAUUCACUGUCUAUGCCUCACUGUCUUCUUGAAACCAAAUGAGUUUAAGGACAGAAUAUACAUUUGGGUGAGAUAGGAAGCAGCUCAAAAAAGUGCUCACAUUCAAUCCCAUUAUUUUUCCUCCAUUAAUGUGAAAAAGACCUAUUUACAUCUUUGAUGACUUCUUAGAAGGCCAAUCCACCUUGGAGGUUAAAAGGUUUAAAAUUAGAGCUAACAUUUAUUGAGCAUGGGUUUUCCAGGGAUAUUUUUACUUUUAUAAAAAUUAAGGUAGAAGAGAACCCAUAAGCCAUAUUCACUAAAAAUUAUGCUACCGGUAUGGGGUAAGGGAGAAGUAUGCUCAGUUUAUAUUCCUGUGUUAAUAAAAUAAUUCCUUAAAUUCAGCAAAGCAAGAUGCACCCCGGCUUUCAAAGCAUCAGUGUUUGACUUUUCCUUCAAAUGGAGAUUUGUAGGAGAAAAUAUUACAGACAAUUCAAUGGCUACUGUGCCUGGUUUAAACACAGCACUAUGCUCACUCAAAUUUCUUUUAGACUAUAGACACAUGGGCCAGUGCUUAUUUUCAUGGUUGAUUUAAUCCAUCCCCUGUGCCAGUGUGGGGAUUAUUCCCUACAGUUAUUUUCCAGUGAUCUGUCAGUUCAGAUUAAAAAAAGUUAAGUGACAAAGAUGCAGUGGCUGAUUCCUUUAGAAGGCUGUGGAAGCUGGAGUAUACAGCAAGAGACUUCUUUUUAAGGAUCUGACUAUGUUCUCUCUUUAAUUUCUCUCACAUCGCCACGAAUCUUUCUUAUCUAGGCUGAACUUUAAACUUCCUAAACAGGCAAUUCAAUUUUGUUCAUAUACAACAAUUUCAGGGUUGCCAAAAAGGGUUUCCAGAUCUUACUUCUUUGGCUCUUGCUUAGUUUUUAAGAAGAGGAGAUAGCAUAUAUUUCCUCACUUUACAGAUGAAAUCUAAGACAUGAUUCUAGGACCACAUGGAUCCUAGCUUUGCUUGGGAUACACAAUAAAUGAUAAUACUGUCUCUUAAGCUACAUCUCUUUUUAUAUUUUGAGAUAUAGGAUUAAAAAUAUACCUUUGCCAGAUUUGUAAUUCUGUUCCAGAUUCUUUGAGAAGAAACCUGCAAUAAAAUGAUUUUAAUUGUAUAGCAAAAUGUUACUCGUGUUAAUGCUAAAAGUUACUCAUAUCAUAAAUAUUAUUAUUAUUCUCACUCUUAUUUUCUCUUUCCAUCUCUACAAUAGAAUUCUUUAGUAGGAUUAUGAAGAUACUGGGUGAGUAAUUUGGUUAUUUUGUAUUGAUGUGCAAAUUAGUCAUUCAAUUCACGCAUUCAUUUUAAAGGCUUUCAUAUGUACUAAGCUAAAAAGAACGCAACUGACAGUUUUAACAAAAUAAUUACAUUAAUUCUACACUCUGCUGCGAGAAAAGGGUCAUCAAAAAUAGAAUCCUAAGAAAAUUCAUAAAAAGCAAUACAAUACUGGACUAUUAAUGGGGCUAGGAUGUAAUAUGGUUGCAUCAUCUAUAUGAUUACAAGUGUUUUCUGCAAAUGUCUCAUGGAUUUCUGCCAGGAUGGUUGGUCUUGCUUAUGAGAAGUAAAAUAGUAUUAUUUUUACUUUGUCUACUGCAAUGUGGACAAAAGGGGCAAAUAGAAAUGGAUCAGUCAGGAUAGGCUAGGUUAUGCUGCGAUAACAAGCAACCUCAACAUCCCAGUACAGUUUACUUCUUUACGUGUCCUAAAUCAUCAGGGGGCUCAGCUCAUUGUAGUCACUUAGGUGGCCAAGCUGGUGGAGCACCUACUAUCUUGAACAUUACCAGAAGGAAAGAGAGCUUUUGAGAGUGAGAAUUGAAUGCUCUGGGCCAGAAGUAGCCCCCAUCACUUUCUCUUGAAACUCACUGGCCAGCACUGGUCACGUGGCACCACUUGAAUGCAAGGAGACCAGGAAGUGCCAAAGUGUCAACUCUCAGAGAGCGGGAGAGCCAGGGAAGUUUGGGGAACUACAUUAGUGACCUCCACAAAGGUCUCACUCUGCCCCUCAGAUGGUUUCCAUAUUUAUCACUUCCUUUCCAUUUUCAUUUCCCUUUGUUUAACCUCAUUUUGUCUUGUCUGCAUCACUGCAAGAGCCUUUUUUUUUUCUUUUUUUUUUUUUGAGAUGUAGUUUUGCUCUUGUCCCCAGGCUGGAGUGCAGUUGCGCUAUCUUGGCUCACUGCAAGCUCCGCCUCCAGGGUCUAAGCAAUUCUCCUGCCUCAGCCUCCCAAGUAGCUGGGAUUACAGGCACCCACGACCAGGCCUGGCUAAUUUUUGUAUUUUUAGUAGAGAUGAGGUUUCACCAUGUUGGCCAGGCUGGUCUUGAAUUCUUGACCUCAGGUGAUCACCUGCCUCAGCCUCCCAAAGUGCUAGGAUUACAGGUGUGAGCCACCUUGCCUGGCGGUGCAAGGGCCUUUUAACUGACCUCUAAUCUCUUGCCUUCCUCACUCUCUCUCUCUCAUUUAUUAAAUUAACUAAUGUUAUCAAGCCAUUUGCCAAGUGCCCAUCUGCCACCAGAAUUAUCUUUGUAAAACACAGAUAGGAUUAUCGUAUUAAUUUUUUUAAAGAAGGGAAUAUGAUAUCUCUCAGCCCAAGGAAUUAAACCAUAGUGCUCAGCCCAAUAUUAGAGAAUGAGGGGGGGCACUUUGACUUCAACCCACUUUUCUAGAGACACUCUGACCUCUUCUGAGAACCUCACUUCUAGUCCAGAGGUAGAAGCUGAUGGUGCAUGGCCAUCCACAGCCAGCAGACGGGGAUGUCCCACUUCCACACAUAGAAACAGGGCUUGAAAAAAGUUUGAAUGGGUUGACAAGACUAAAAAAUCAGGAGAGCCUCCAUAAAAUAUGUAUUGUCCAUUUUUCUUAAAGACAAAACAAAACACAACCCCACAUCCAGAAGGUCUGGCAACAUGACCCUGCAUGGGGACUGGAGCUGAGUGCAGCUGUCCUCUUGCUGGGAUCCAUGGCAGCCAGAAUGAACUGCCCCCUCUCCUGAAAUUCUAUGAGGGGACAUCCUGUUGUGCAUUGCACCACAAUUAAUGUGUCCCUGGAUGGUUCUUUUACCAACUAGCUCCCUAAAGAAGGUAACCAUUUUUAUGCAGGACUUUUUUUUUUUUUUUAAAUCUUCCUGUCUUCUCUCUCAGCAACCUGCAUAUAGCAGAUGUUCACUAAAUAAUUAGGAAUUAUAAUUGUAGGGAGCUGUAAUUUGAUUGGCCACUUGAUGACUUCAGCUUAUUCUUCCUACCUAACAUGUAUCAUGUGCUUGCUUUGGUUAAGUUCACAAAAGUAGAGAUACCACUGGAGAAUUUCUGAGGUUCCCAAGAUCCACUGCUCAGGGUUCUAGGAGACUACCUAUAAAUCAUGUGACCUCUGAGCCUGCAAUGGAGCUGCAGUUAAUUUGGGGGAAUGGUAUAGAUUUAUUUUUCUAAAAAAUCAAAUUCUUGUGUUCCUUUCUUGAAAAUAUAUAACUGUACAGGCCAAGGCAGCCAUCUGGAUGCAUCUGGAGCCAUAUCCUAAAAAUUCUGUAAAAUAAUUUUGUUUAUGAACUAACAACUUAUUAAAGGAAGUGAAUGAACACCACCUAAGAAUCCAGGAUUUGAAGGUGUGCUAUAGGAAUUCAAUAGGAAAUAUGUAUAUGAAAUGUGGUUAAAGAGGAAAUGACAAGCUUGGAGAGCCCUGAAAGGUUAUCUGGAUAAACAGAAAAGUACUGCAGGGAAUUUCAGACCCUUCUAAAGUUCAUCCAGAGACACCUAUCCACCUGAUGACUGACAGCAUCUGCGGGGGACCAGGCUACAGGUCCGGGUGAAGGGCAUCUGUCCCUGAAACAUAUGGCCCUUCCUGGCAUCCAUUGAUGGGGAGAGGCACCAUGUAUUUAUUGAGAGCCUACUAUGUUCCAGGCAACCAGUGAUGACUUCCAAGCCAACGUGGACUAUGAAAGAGGGAUCCACUUUAGAAAGGAC